rnacentral:rRNA from 1 species
AGGAAUUGAAUGGCCGCAGUAUUUUAACUGUGCUAAGGUAGCAUAAUCAUUUGUCUUUUAAUUGAGGGCUGGAAUGAAGGGUUGGACGAGGUAUUAACUUUCUUUGAUUUAAUGAGGAGAAUUUAAUUUUUGAGUUAAAAAGCUUAAAUUUAUUUGUGGGACGAGAAGACCCUAUAGAUCUUUAUAGUUUUAUAUUUUAAUAAUUUGGUGAUUUAUUUGUUUUAAGUAGAUGAACUAUUUUGUUGGGGUGACUGUAGAAUUUAAAUAACUUCUAUUAUUUUAUUUCAUUAAUUAAUGUUUUUGUGAUCCAUAUUUUAUGAUUAUAAGAUUAAGUUACCUUAGGGAUAACAGCGUAAUUUCCUCGGAGAGUUCAUAUUGAUGGGGGAGUUUGCGACCUCGAUGUUGGAUUAA